UGGGGAAUUUUGCGCAAUGGGGGGAACCCUGACGCAGCAACGCCGCGUGCGGGACGAAGGCCCUCGGGUUGUAAACCGCUUUCAGCAGGGAAGACCUUACGACGGUACCUGCAGAAGAAGCCCCGGCUAACUACGUGCCAGCAGCCGCGGUAAUACGUAGGGGGCGAGCGUUAUCCGGAUUCAUUGGGCGUAAAGCGCGCGUAGGCGGCCGCCUAAGCGGGACCUCUAACCCCGGGGCUCAACCCCGGGCCGGGUCCCGGACUGGGCGGCUCGAGUGCGGUAGAGGAGAGCGGAAUUCCCGGUGUAGCGGUGGAAUGCGCAGAUAUCGGGAAGAACACCGAUGGCGAAGGCAGCUCUCUGGGCCGGCACUGACGCUGAGGCGCGAAAGCUGGGGGAGCGAACAGG
rnacentral:rRNA from 1 species